UAUAUUGUAAAAUGAUAACUCCAAACUUCAUCUAUUUAAUAAACCACAAAAGUUCACUUCAUACAUACAUGAACAUUGUGUCACUGGUUAUGACCCAUUGCACUUUAUCAUCAUUGAUCUCUGAAUUAUUUUGACUUCAAUUGAAUAUAGCUUAUAAAAAGAGUUUGCUGUUUGUCUUCUGACCUAUUCUAGACUUUAAUUUAUAUUUGUUUCAAGGUGCAGUUUAUGGAAGUUAAA
rnacentral:lncRNA from 1 species